rfam:Ixodes scapularis strain Wikel colony gcontig_1108379774378, whole genome shotgun sequence.
GCCGGGGGUUGUGGCGUGCCCCUGUAAUCCAGCUGCCUGGAGGCCUGGACUAGAGGACGGGUUGAGGCAGGGAGUUCUGCCCCUUGGCGACCUAUGUUGAUCGGGUGUCCGCGCUAAGCUGGGCGUCGAUAUGGUGACCCCGGGUGACCCCGGGGCGACCAGGUCGCCUAAGGAGGAGCGAACCGGCCCAGGGCGGAAACGCAGCAGGCAAAAGCUCCCGCGUCCUGCAGUAGUGGGGUCGCACCUGUGAGUGGGCGGCAUGGGGCAGCCCGGUCGACACAUCCGGACCUAGUCCUUC